rnacentral:rRNA from 1 species
GAGCGGCGGACGGGUGAGUAAUACAUCGGAACGUGUCCCGUAGUGGGGGAUAGCCCGGCGAAAGCCGGAUUAAUACCGCAUAUGCUUACGGAGGAAAGUGGGGGACUCGCAAGGGCCUCACGCUAUGGGAGCGGCCGAUGUCCGAUUAGCUUGUUGGCGGGGUAAUGGCCCACCAAGGCGACGAUCGGUAGCUGGUCUGAGAGGAUGAUCAGCCACACUGGGACUGAGACACGGCCCAGACUCCUACGGGAGGCAGCAGUGGGGAAUUUUGGACAAUGGGGGGAACCCUGAUCCAGCCAUGCCGCGUGCGGGAAGAAGGCCUUCGGGUUGUAAACCGCUUUUGGUCGGAAAGAAAAGGCGCACCCUAAUACGGGGCGUUCUUGACGGUACCGGCAGAAUAAGCACCGGCUAACUACGUGCCAGCAGCCGCGGUAAUACGUAGGGUGCGAGCGUUAAUCGGAAUUACUGGGCGUAAAGCGUGCGCAGGCGGUUCCCCAAGUCCGUUGUGAAAGCCCCGGGCUCAACCUGGGAAUGGCAGUGGAAACUAGGGGACUUGAAUCUGGCAGAGGGGGGUGGAAUUCCACGUGUAGCAGUGAAAUGCGUAGAGAUGUGGAGGAACACCGAUGGCGAAGGCAGCCCCCUGGGCUGAGAU